AACCUGUUCUUACUCCGACACCUCUUGGACUCGAGACUCAUACCAAAAGAAAGGUCUUCGAGUCUAUUUUCAUAUAAAAAAAAGUAGAGUCAAAAACUCGAAGUAUUGUAGGAGAUAUGACUGUUUUACUACAGUCUACCAUAUUCGGCAGUUUUGAGCAAUCGAAAACUUGGAUUUUUGAAAAAUAGUAAAUGUUGUCAAACUGGGCUCACAUUUUGUGGAUAUCUAGCUAACACAAUAAGGUUAAUACCAUAAAAUUUUGGAAAGCUAGAUCACAC
rnacentral:lncRNA from 1 species